rnacentral:rRNA from 2 species
CAACUUUCAACAACGGAUCUCUUGGCUCUCGCAUCGAUGAAGAACGCAGC